AAACAUAUACAGGGAAAUAGCUAGCUAGCUAGACAGAUACAAGCAUAUAUACUUAUGUGUAUGUAUAUACAACUAGACAACAUAUACGUAUCCUCUAUUCUAUAUCUAUAUACAACAACACACUAACUCGUUUCCCAACACAACCGAUAGAGUUACUACACAUCACACAUCGUUACAACACACCAGCAUUACACAACACUCCAUUGUUAUACUAUAAACCAUAGAACUACAAACUGUGUAUAUUUACACAGCACACAGUCUAUACACAGCUCUUAUGACACACACACAUCACUGCAGUAUGUGUGUAGAAGCAGUGUGUGUGUGUGUGUGUGUGUGUGCAGCAGACUACAGCAGCAGAAACAACAGCAGCAGUAGUUACAGCCUGAGAUCCACAUCUCUACUACCACACACACACACACACAGAGUGACACACCACUAGACACUCCCUCACACACUGCCACACUGAUUAUGGAUGAGACAAUGGAGUGUCACUCCUAUUGGAAGGGACUUACACACUGAAGCCCAGCUCUGUUGCUAUUGGAUACAGGGAACAACUGACAGAUUUUUCUGUACUCACCAAAAUGGGAUGACUUUAAGUUAUUAACUUGAAGAAAUCCAAUCUUUUAAUUUGGAUGUUGAAGCAUUCCUACUUUUGAUAAAACCACGAGAUAUGAUUUAACAUUUUGUGAUGGAAG